AUACGUAGGGUGCGAGCGUUAAUCGGAAUUAUUGGGCGUAAAGCGUGCGCAGGCGGCGCCAUAAGACAGCUGUGAAAUCCCCGGGCUUAACCUGGGAACUGCGGUUGUGACUGUGGUGCUAGAGUACGGCAGAGGGAGGUGGAAUUCCUGGUGUAGCAGUGAAAUGCGUAGAGAUCAGGAGGAACACCGAUGGCGAAGGCAGCCUCCUGGGCUGAUACUGACGCUCAUGCACGAAAGCGUGGGGAGC
rnacentral:rRNA from 1 species